GCGGGGAUGCCGGAGCGGCCAAACGGGACAGGCUUAGGACCUGUUGGCUUAGGCAAGACGUAAGUCUUGGCAGGACAAGACCAUAGUCUUGGAGUAGUGCCUGCGAGGGUUCGAAUCCUUCUCCCCGCA
rnacentral:tRNA from 1 species